UACCAGCACCCCGAGUGGUCGGGACGUUUAUUGGGCCUAAAGCAUCCGUAGCCGGUUCUACAGUCUUCCGUUAAAUCCAGCUGCUUAACAGAUGGGCUGCGGAAGAUACUAUGGAGCUAGGAGGCGGGAGAGGCAAGCGGUACUCGAUGGGUAGGGGUAAAAUCCGUUGAUCCAUUGAAGACCACCAGUGGCGAAGGCGGCUUGCCAGAACGCGCUCGACGGUG
rnacentral:rRNA from 1 species